rnacentral:ncRNA from 1 species
AGGGUGCCGCCGUGCUUAAAUGGGAAUCCCGUGAAAAUCGGGAGUGGUCCCGCCGCUGUAAUCGGGGACGAAAUCCGCGUAGGCCACUGUCUGUUCGAGACAGACGGGAAGGUGCGGAAAGUAGGAAGAUCCGGAAGCCAGAAGACCUGCCUUGAACA